rnacentral:rRNA from 1 species
AGAGUUUGAUCCUGGCUCAGGAUGAACGCUAGCUACAGGCUUAACACAUGCAAGUCGAGGGGAAACGACAUCAAAAGCUUGCUUUUGAUGGGCGUCGACCGGCGCACGGGUGAGUAACGCGUAUCCAACCUGCCCACCACUUGGGGAUAACCUUGCGAAAGUAAGACUAAUACCCAAUGAUAUCUCUAGAAGACAUCUGAAAGAGAUUAAAGAUUUAUCGGUGAUGGAUGGGGAUGCGUCUGAUUAGCUUGUUGGCGGGUAACGCCACCAAGGCUACGAUCAGUAGGGGUUCUGAGAGGAAGGUCCCCCCANAUUGGAACUGAGACACGGUCCAAACUCCUACGGGAGCA